rnacentral:rRNA from 1 species
GGACGAACGGCUGGCGGCCGUGCCUAAUACAUGCAAGUCGAACGGUCUUUCUAUGGAAGCUUGCUUCCACUGAGAAGAUAGUGGGCGAAACGGGUGAGUAACAACGUGGGUAACCUGCCCAUAAGAGGGGGAUAACAUCCGGAAACGGGUGCUAAUACCGCAUAGUUUCUUGAUCGCAUGAUCGGGAAGGAAAGACGGCCUUUGUGCUGUCGCUUAUGGAUGGACCCGCGGCGUAUUAGUUAGUUGGUGAGGUAACGGCUCACCAAGACGAUGAUACGUAGCCGACCUGAGAGGGUGAUCGGCCACAUUGGGACUGAGACACGGCCCAAACUCCUACGGGAGGCAGCAGUAGGGAAUCUUCCGCAAUGGACGAAAGUCUGACGGAGCAACGCCGCGUGAGUGAAGAAAAGGUUUUCGGAUCGUAAAACUCUGUUGUCAGAGAAGAACAAGUUGGAGAGUAACUGCUCCAGCCUUGACGGUAUCUGACCAGAAAGCCACGGCUAACUACGUGCCAGCCGCUGC